rnacentral:lncRNA from 1 species
UGCUCUCAAAUCUAAAAGGAGCAAGGGUCACACGAUUUGUUUCAAGGAAAGGAGCCUCUUUCUCUUGCAAAUCAAGCAGCGACCCCUUCUCAGCCACAUAAGGCUCAGUACAAGAAGGAGGAGGGGAGACGACUCAGGUGUGAGCACUGCAAAAGGGAGGGACAUACCAAGGAGAAGUGUUGGGAUCUUCACCCACACCUCAAACCUUCCAAGAGGUGACUGAGAUAUUGCAUGAGGUGGUUGAGAUAUGGAUUGAAGUAUGAGAUGGCUGAGUUAUGACAUGAGGUGGCUGAGUUAUGACGGUUGAGUUAUGACAUGAAGUGGCUGAGUUACGACGACUGAGUUAGGACAUGAGGUGGCUGAGUUACGACAUGAGGUGGCUGAUUUAUUGAGACGAAAAGAGUUGUUGGAGAGUGUUGACUUUAAGGUGUGAACACAUAUUUGAAUUCAAAUCUGGUGAAGCCUUUAGAGCAUCCUAUUAUCCAGCCUUACCAUCUCACUUCUCUAUUAUGUUUCUAUAAAUAUCAUUGUAUGUAUAGAUAAUAAAUUAAGAAAAUCAAUCCUUCAUUUCUCUUUACUCAUUGUAACAACAUCUCUCUCUCCUGUUCUUCACAUUAUUCUUCAUUUACUCUCCAUUACUCUUUCUUUGAUUCUUACACAAAUCUCUUUACUCUCUUCAUCACUACGCACACCUAUACUCUGUUUUUCCAUACUCUCACAUCCUGAUCUAUGAUUUCUCACAAUGGUAACCCUAUCGAUGCUCUGAUAGAGAUAGUGUUUUAACUUGUGGUCGUCUUUUUUGGGGUUUUCCAACUGUUACCUUUGUUCAUUUGACAUAAGCGUUGUUUGCUGGUUCUUCAUAUCCGGUUUCGAUCAGGUUCCAUAAACCUCUAGCACGGAAGAAGUUCUCACUAACCUCACUCUAGUGAUCUCAGUGCCCAUAGAACUGAGAAAGCUUCAUCUUCUGGUCUCCCAUAUUUUCUAUCACUUAUGAUCAAAUUUUCGGCCUCUUUUGUUUUCAGAAAGUAGAUUUCUGAUACCAAUUUGAAAGAACCAACGCUCUUUAUUUUAGUCUAAAAAUACUCUGCUU